rnacentral:rRNA from 1 species
AUUGAACGCUGGCGGCAGGCCUAACACAUGCAAGUCGAGCGAGCGGCGGACGGGUGAGUAAUGUAUGGGGAUCUGCCCGAUAGAGGGGGAUAACUACUGGAAACGGUGGCUAAUACCGCAUACCAUCAGAUGUGCCCAGAUGGGAUUAGCUAGUAGGUGGGGUAAUGGCUCACCUAGGCGACGAUCUCUAGCUGGUCUGAGAGGAUGACCAGCCACACUGGGACUGAGACACGGCCCAGACUCCUACGGGAGGCAGCAGUGGGGAAUAUUGCACAAUGGGCGCAAGCCUGAUGCAGCCAUGCCGCGUGUAUGAAGAAGGCCUUAGGGUUGUAAAGUUCUUUCGGUAGCGAGGCGUUAACUACAGAAGAAGCACCGGCUAACUCCGUGCCAGCAGCCGCGGUAAUAC